AACGAACGCUGGCGGCAUGCCUAACACAUGCAAGUCGAACGAAGCCUUCGGGCUUAGUGGCGCACGGGUGCGUAACGCGUGGGAAUCUGCCCUUUGGUUCGGAAUAACAGUUGGAAACGACUGCUAAUACCGGAUGAUGACGAAAGUCCAAAGAUUUAUCGCCAGAGGAUGAGCCCGCGUAGGAUUAGCUAGUUGGUGUGGUAAAGGCGCACCAAGGCGACGAUCCUUAGCUGGUCUGAGAGGAUGAUCAGCCACACUGGGACUGAGACACGGCCCAGACUCCUACGGGAGGCAGCAGUGGGGAAUAUUGGACAAUGGGCGAAAGCCUGAUCCAGCAAUGCCGCGUGAGUGAUGAAGGCCCUAGGGUUGUAAAGCUCUUUUACCCGGGAUGAUAAUGACAGUACCGGGAGAAUAAGCCCCGGCUAACUCCGUGCCAGCCGCCGCCGUAAGAC
rnacentral:rRNA from 1 species